rnacentral:rRNA from 1 species
GACGAACGCUGGCGGCGUGCUUAACACAUGCAAGUCGAACGGAAAGGCCCUGCUUUUGUGGGGUGCUCGAGUGGCGAACGGGUGAGUAACACGUUAGUAACCUUCCCUUGACUUUGGGAUAACUUCAGGAAACUUGGGCUAAUACCGGAUAGGAGCUCCUGCUGCAUGGUGGGGGUUGGAAAGUUUCGGCGGUUGGGGAUGGACUCGCGGCUUAUCAGCUUGUUGGUGGGGUAGUGUCUUACCAAGGCUUUGACGGGUAGCCGGCCUGAGAGGGUGACCGGCCACAUUGGGACUGAGAUACGGCCCAGACUCCUACGGGAGGCAGCAGUGGGGAAUAUUGCACAAUGGGCGGAAGCCUGAUGCAGCAACGCCGCGUGCGGGAUGACGGCCUUCGGGUUGUAAACCGCUUUCGCCUGUGACGAAGCGUGAGUGACGGUAAUGGGUAAAGAAGCACCGGCUAACUACGUG